rnacentral:tRNA from 1 species
GGGGUAUCGCCCAGCUGGCUAGAGCGUCCCGACGAGGCUGUCGGGAAGGUCGUCGGUUCGACUCCGACUAUCUCCA